AUUACAGAUGGGAAAACAUGCCUCAAUAGCAUUUGUUUCUGAGAUACUUGCUGCAUUACUAGAAAAUAACAGCUGGAGCAUCAAGAACAGAGAACUUAACACCCAAGGACGACACUGUGACCAUCUGUGUUGGUGAAUACGUUCCUAGGGGUAGACUCUGGAUGAAACAAGGUGACUCCAAGAGCAAAGCUUAGAAUACCUGAAUACCUGCAAGCAAGACAAGUAGAUUAAGUCCUGACAGAAAAGUAUACGCGGGCCCAAGGUUUUUAACAAAACCCAGUCCUGGGUUGUAAAAGAUGAAGGGCCAAAUGAGAUGAUGAAGCUAUUUUUAGCCUCUGUGGACAGCUCCAUAGGGAGAAUGAACUAUUCGUCAACGUCACCCAUAUUUUACUGAAGAUUUUGAAGGUAUUCCAAUGUGACUGACUACUACGUUUCCUCACAUGUGUGCUGCUGUAUCUGAGAUCACCAUGUUUUCAAUUAUCUCAUAUGAACCUGUUUCUGUUCAGAAAAAAUCCUUCCCUGGUGAUCCUAUUGUGGUAGACAUAAAACUGUGCCACCCAGAUCCCAUUCCAGGGAAGAAUAUGCUGCUGAGCUGUUGGAAGUACAAUCAGUGGAAAACCUUGGUCUGUCAGCAACUUCAAGGUUUGCCUCCUUUGCAGAAAUGGUCCAUUCAAAGUCAUGCCCUUCCUAUAGCAGUCUACAUUCAACCACUGAGUGAGGCAGAAAUAAAAAAGUGCUGAUAAUUUUCAACCUACAAGGGCAUUAAUGAGCAAUACCUGCUCCAGAGCUCCACAGUGGGUUCUCAGAAGAUGUGUCUUGCCUGCAGCACAGCUUGACUCCUU
rnacentral:lncRNA from 10 species